rnacentral:rRNA from 1 species
GGUUAAGCGACUAAGCGUACACGGUGGAUGCCCUGGCAGUCAGAGGCGAUGAAGGGCGUGCUAAUCUGCGAUAAGCGCCGGUAAGGUGAUAUGAACCGUUAUAACCGGCGAUACCCGAAUGGGGAAACCCAGUGUGAUUCGUCACACUAUCAUUAACUGAAUCCAUAGGUUAAUGAGGCGAACCGGGGGAACUGAAACAUCUAAGUACCCCGAGGAAAAGAAAUCAACCGAGAUUCCCCCAGUAGCGGCGAGCGAACGGGGAGGAGCCCAGAGCCUGAAUCAGCAUGUGUGUUAGUGGAAGCGUCUGGAAAGGCGCGCGAUACAGGGUGACAGCCCCGUACACAAAAGCGCAUGUGCUGUGAGCUCGAUGAGUAGGGCGGGACACGUGGUAUCCUGUCUGAAUAUGGGGGGACCAUCCUCCAAGGCUAAAUACUCCUGACUGACCGAUAGUGAACCAGUACCGUGAGGGAAAGGCGAAAAGAACCCCGGCGAGGGGAGUGAAAAAGAACCUGAAAUCGUGUACGUACAAGCAGUGGGAGCACAGGUUUACCUGUGUGACUGCGUACCUUUUGUAUAAUGGGUCAGCGACUUAUAUUCUGUAGCAAGGUUAACCGAAUAGGGGAGCCGGAGGGAAACCGAGUCUUAAUUGGGCGUUAAGUUGCAGGGUAUAGACCCGAAACCCGGUGAUCUAGCCAUGGGCAGGUUGAAGGUUGGGUAACACUAACUGGAGGACCGAACCGACUAAUGUUGAAAAAUUAGCGGAUGACCUGUGGCUGGGGGUGAAAGGCCAAUCAAACCGGGAGAUAGCUGGUUCUCCCCGAAAGCUAUUUAGGUAGCGCCUCGUGAAUUCAUCUCCGGGGGUAGAGCACUGUUUCGGCUAGGGGGCCAUCCCGGCUUACCAACCCGAUGCAAACUGCGAAUACCGGAGAAUGUUAUCACGGGAGACACACGGCGGGUGCUAACGUCCGUCGUGAAGAGGGAAACAACCCAGACCGCCAGCUAAGGUCCCAAAGUCAUGGUUAAGUGGGAAACGAUGUGGGAAGGCCCAGACAGCCAGGAUGUUGGCUUAGAAGCAGCCAUCAUUUAAAGAAAGCGUAAUAGCUCACUGGUCGAGUCGGCCUGCGCGGAAGAUGUAACGGGGCUAAACCAUGCACCGAAGCUGCGGCAGCGACGCUUAUGCGUUGUUGGGUAGGGGAGCGUUCUGUAAGCCUGUGAAGGUGGCCUGUGAGGGUUGCUGGAGGUAUCAGAAGUGCGAAUGCUGACAUAAGUAACGAUAAAGCGGGUGAAAAGCCCGCUCGCCGGAAGACCAAGGGUUCCUGUCCAACGUUAAUCGGGGCAGGGUGAGUCGACCCCUAAGGCGAGGCCGAAAGGCGUAGUCGAUGGGAAACGGGUUAAUAUUCCCGUACUUGGUGUUACUGCGAAGGGGGGACGGAGAAGGCUAUGUUGGCCGGGCGACGGUUGUCCCGGUUUAAGCGUGUAGGUGUGUGUUCCAGGUAAAUCCGGUUCACUUUAACACUGAGGCGUGAUGACGAGGCACUACGGUGCUGAAGUAACAAAUGCCCUGCUUCCAGGAAAAGCCUCUAAGCAUCAGGUAACAUCAAAUCGUACCCCAAACCGACACAGGUGGUCAGGUAGAGAAUACCAAGGCGCUUGAGAGAACUCGGGUGAAGGAACUAGGCAAAAUGGUGCCGUAACUUCGGGAGAAGGCACGCUGACACGUAGGUGAAGUGAUUUACUCACGGAGCUGAAGUCAGUCGAAGAUACCAGCUGGCUGCAACUGUUUAUUAAAAACACAGCACUGUGCAAACACGAAAGUGGACGUAUACGGUGUGACGCCUGCCCGGUGCCGGAAGGUUAAUUGAUGGGGUCAGCGCAAGCGAAGCUCCUGAUCGAAGCCCCGGUAAACGGCGGCCGUAACUAUAACGGUCCUAAGGUAGCGAAAUUCCUUGUCGGGUAAGUUCCGACCUGCACGAAUGGCGUAAUGAUGGCCAGGCUGUCUCCACCCGAGACUCAGUGAAAUUGAACUCGCUGUGAAGAUGCAGUGUACCCGCGGCAAGACGGAAAGACCCCGUGAACCUUUACUAUAGCUUGACACUGAACAUUGAGCCUUGAUGUGUAGGAUAGGUGGGAGGCUUUGAAGUGUGGACGCCAGUCUGCAUGGAGCCGACCUUGAAAUACCACCCUUUAAUGUUUGAUGUUCUAACGUGGACCCGUUACCCGGGUUGCGGACAGUGUCUGGUGGGUAGUUUGACUGGGGCGGUCUCCUCCUAAAGAGUAACGGAGGAGCACGAAGGUUGGCUAAUCCUGGUCGGACAUCAGGAGGUUAGUGCAAUGGCAUAAGCCAGCUUGACUGCGAGCGUGACGGCGCGAGCAGGUGCGAAAGCAGGUCAUAGUGAUCCGGUGGUUCUGAAUGGAAGGGCCAUCGCUCAACGGAUAAAAGGUACUCCGGGGAUAACAGGCUGAUACCGCCCAAGAGUUCAUAUCGACGGCGGUGUUUGGCACCUCGAUGUCGGCUCAUCACAUCCUGGGGCUGAAGUAGGUCCCAAGGGUAUGGCUGUUCGCCAUUUAAAGUGGUACGCGAGCUGGGUUUAGAACGUCGUGAGACAGUUCGGUCCCUAUCUGCCGUGGGCGCUGGAGAACUGAGGGGGGCUGCUCCUAGUACGAGAGGACCGGAGUGGACGCAUCACUGGUGUUCGGGUUGUCAUGCCAAUGGCACUGCCCGGUAGCUAAAUGCGGAAGAGAUAAGUGCUGAAAGCAUCUAAGCACGAAACUUGCCCCGAGAUGAGUUCUCCCUGAGACUUAAAGUCUCCUGAAGGAACGUUGAAGACGACGACGUUGAUAGGCCGGGUGUGUAAGCGCAGCGAUGCGUUGAGCUAACCGGUACUAAUGAACCGUGAGGCUUAACCCU